rnacentral:lncRNA from 1 species
GAGCCUAGUAAUGGGUAGGAGGUGGGGGAGAAGCGUAGAUGUAGACUGGAGGUGGGGGAGAUUUUACUGGUGGUGGUGGAGAGUUGUAAUGGUACGGUGGUGGUGGGGAUUUCACUGGAGGAGGUGGUGAAUGGUAGUAGUAAGGUGGUGGGGGAGAUUUGACUGGAGGGGGUGGAGAGUUGUAAUGGUACGGUGGUGGUGGGGAUUUCACCGGAGGAGGUGGUGAAUGGUAGUAGUAUGGUGGUGGUGGAGAUUUGACUGGAGGGGGUGGUGAGUGAUAAUAGUAUGGUGGAGGAGGAGACUUCACAGGUGGGGGUGGUGAGUGGUAGUAGUAAGGUGGUGGAGGUGAUUUCACUGGUGGGGGAGGUGAGUGAUAGUAGUAUGGUGGUGGUGGAGAUUUCACCGGAGGAGGUGGGGAGUGGUAGUAGUAUGGUGGUGGUGGAGAUUUCACCGGAGGAGGUGGUGAGUGGUAGUAGUAAGGUGGAGGAGGAGAUUUCACCGGUGGAGGUGGGGAGUGGUAGUAGUAUGGUGGUGGUGGAGAUUUCACCGGUGGAGGUGGUGAGUGGUAGUAGUAUGGUGGUGGUGGAGAUUUCACCGGAGGAGGUGGGGAGUGGUAGUAGUAUGGUGGUGGUGGAGAUUUCACCGGAGGAGGUGGGGAGUGGUAGUAGUAAGGUGGAGGAGGAGAUUUCACCGGAGGAGGUGGUGAGUGGUAGUAGUAUGGUGGUGGUGGAGAUUUCACCGGAGGAGGUGGUGAGUGGUAGUAGUAUGGUGGUGGUGGAGAUUUCACCGGAGGAGGUGGUGAGUGGUAGUAGUAUGGUGGUGGUGGAGAUUUCACCGGAGGAGGUGGGGAGUGAUAGUAGUAAGGUGGAGGAGGAGACUUCACCGGAGGAGGUGGGGAGUGGUAGUAGUAAGGAGGGGGUGGCGACUUCACGGGAGGAGGUGGGGAGUGGUAGUAGUAAGGAGGGGGAGGAGAUUUCACCGGAGGAGGUGGAGAGUGGUAGUAGUAAGGUGGGGGUGGAGACUUCACCGGAGGAGGUGGGGAGUGGUAGUAGUAAGGAGGGGGUGGAGACUUCACCGGAGGAGGUGGAGAGUGGUAGUAGUAAGGUGGAGGAGGAGACUUCACCGGAGGAGGUGGAGAAUGGUAAUAGUAAGGAGGAGGAGGAGAUUUCACCGGAGGAGGUGGUGAAUGAUAGUAGUAUGGUGGUGGAGGAGACUUGACCGGAGGUGGUGGAGAAUGGUAGUAGUAUGGAGGUGGUGGGGAUUUGACGGGUGGUGGUGGUGAGUGAUAAUAAUAUGGAGGUGGAGGAGAUUUUACUGGUGGUGGAGGAGAGUGGUAGUAGUAUGGUGUAGGAGUGUGCGUUGGAGGGGGUGGUGAUUUGUAAACAUACGUUGGAGUGGGAGGAGGCGGUGACUUGUAGACAUAGGUCGGAGUAGGAGGAGGUGGUGAUUUGUAAAUAUAGGUUGGAGUUGGUGGUGGUGGAGAUUUGUAAACAUAUGUUGGGGUUGGAGGUGGUGGUGACUUGUAUACAUAAGUAGGAGUUGGUGGAGGUGGUGACUUGUAGACAUAAGUAGGGGUUGGUGGUGGUGGAGAUUUAUAGACAUAAGUCGGGGUUGGUGGCGGUGGUGAUUUGUAAACAUAGGUCGGGGUUGGCGGUGGUGGUGACUUGUAAACAUAUGUCGGAGUUGGCGGUGGUGGUGAUUUGUAGACGUAAGUCGGAGUUGGUGGAGGUGGUGAUUUGUAGACAUAAGUUGGAGUUGGUGGUGGUGGAGACUUGUAGACAUAGGUUGGAGCCGGUGGUGGUGGUGACUUGUAGUAGUAAACCGGAGACGGUGGUGGUGGAGAUUUGUAAUAGUAUGGAGGAUGGUAAGGAGCCGGUUUGUGGCAUUCACCAUAAGGUUUCUUCGGUGCAUAAGCAAAGGACUUAGCAUAAAGCACAACCUCGUACUUUGUCUUUGAUUUCACAUGGAGUUUUGCACCUUUGUUACCCAUAUGGUAACUUGUAGGAAUGUUACAUGGCGAUCCCUUAGGAGGAGCAUGAAGCUUGGCCGUGCAGACUUCGCCACCGUAUUUACGGUAGUUGUAUCCUUUAACGGUGAUUGCGUAUUUACCGUUGAUUUUGGUCUUUCCGUAUGCCUUCACUGUCUUGUCACCGGCCUUGCAAGUCACUUCCACAACAGCACCUAUAUGACAAAAACAAAUUAUUAAAAUUUAAAAAUAUCAUUUGAUGUCCUUUUAGUUGGUAUAUCUACAAAAUCGAUUUUGCUUGUUCGAUCUCUUUGGAUUGUUUGUCAAUAACAGAUUCUUGUCUUUUUCUUGACUUAAUCUCGUUUUCUUUUCUCCACUAAUAAAAAUAAAAUCUAGAUCACAUGCAACUACUAGUACUUUACAAUACAUAUAUGCUAGUUAAUUAUUUAAGUCCUAUAAGCAUCAAGAUAAAAUUAUGUAAAUUAGUUAAGGAAUUUGCUAAGAUUAGAAUUUAUUAUUGAACACGUGGGGGAGACUUAUAAGUUACCUUUGAGAUGCUUCUUAUCGUGGGACUUUUUAGGGUAUGUCCAGUCAUAACAUCUGUAACAGUACACCUUACCAACAACUUUGAAGACAAGUGGAUGUGUGUGUGGGUGAGGAUGAGGGUAUGACACCGGAGGUGGUGGUGAUGAAUAGUAGUAUGGUGGAGAGUACGACUUUGGUGGUGGUGGUGGAGAUGAGUAGUAAUAUGGUGGAGGGUAAGAUUUUGGUGGUGGUGGAGAUGAGUAAUAGUAAGGUGGAGGUGGUGAUUUCACCGGAGGAGGCGGUGAAUGGUAGUAGUAUGGAGGUGGAGGAGAUUUGACCGGUGGUGGUGGAGAGUGAUAAUAGUAUGGCGGCGGUGGAGAUUUAACUGGGGGAG